rnacentral:rRNA from 1 species
UCACCUACGGGACGCAGCAGUAGGGAAUUUUCGUCAAUGGGCGCAAGCCUGAACGAGCGAUGCCGCGUGAGUGAAGAAGGCCCUCGGGUCGUAAAGCUCUGUUGCGGGGGAAAAAAGGCAGCAUCAGGAAAUGGGUGCUGACUGAUGGUGCCCCGCCAGAAAGUCACGGCUAACUACGUGCCAGCAGCCGCGGUAAUACGUAGGUGGCGAGCGUUAUCCGGAAUGAUUGGGCGUAAAGGGUGCGCAGGCGGUCCUGCAAGUCUGGAGUGAAAGGGAUGAGGUCAACUAAUGGAUGGAUUUGGAAA